UAGACUUUGAUCCUGGCUCAGGACGAACGCUGGCGGCGUGCCUAACACAUGCAAGUCGAACGGGGUUUUAGGGUAGCUUGCUAUCCGAAGAACAUAGUGGCGCACGGGUGAGUAACACGUGGGCAAUCUGCCCGGAAGUCUGGGAUAACACCCCGAAAGGGGUGCUAAUACCGGAUAUCUUCUCGGAAUCGCAUGAUUCUGCGAAGAAAGUUUUUCGCUUCCGGAUGAGCCCGCGUCCCAUUAGUUAGUUGGUGAGGUAACGGCUCACCAAGGCAACGAUGGGUAGCUGGUCUGAGAGGACGAUCAGCCACACUGGAACUGAGACACGGUCCAGACUCCUACGGGAGGCAGCAGUGGGGAAUCUUGCGCAAUGGGCGAAAGCCUGACGCAGCAACGCCGCGUGAACGAUGAAGGCCUUCGGGUCGUAAAGUUCUGUCAGGGGGGAAGAAUAAUGACGGUACCCUCCGGAGGAAGCCCCGGGUAA
rnacentral:rRNA from 1 species